UACAGAGGUCUCAAGCGUUGUUCGGAUUCAUUGGGCGUAAAGGGUGCGUAGGCGGCGCGGUAAGUCUGGUGUGAAAACUCGAGGCUUAACCUCGAGAUGUCAUCGGAAACCAUCUGGCUAGAGUCCGGAAGAGGAGAGUGGAAUUCCUGGUGUAGCGGUGAAGUGCGCAGAUAUCAGGAAGAACACCAAUGGCGAAAGCAGCUCUCUGGGACGGUACUGACGCUGAGACGCGAAAGCGUGGGGAGCGAACAGG
rnacentral:rRNA from 1 species